rnacentral:rRNA from 1 species
AUACGGAGGGUGCAAGCGUUACUCGGAAUCACUGGGCGUAAAGCGCGCGCAGGCGGGCUGAUAAGUUGGAUGUGAAAGCCUACGGCUCAACCGUAGAACUGCAUCCAAAACUGUCAGUCUAGAGUGUGGGAGAGGAAGAUGGAAUUAGUUGUGUAGGGGUAAAAUCCGUAGAGAUAACUAGGAAUACCAAAAGCGAAGGCAAUCUUCUGGAACGCUACUGACGCUGAGGCGCGAAGGCGUGGGGAGCAAACAGGAUUAGAAACCCCUGUAGUCC